UCAUUCAAACCUCACCAGAGUGUGAGCAUAAUAUAACAUACUAUUGUUACCUCCAUUUUAUGAGUGAAGGAUGUGAGGCACAUGGAGUUUAAGAUACUUGUCCAAGGCCACAAAGUUGCCCUGAGGUUGCUUCAAUAUUCUUCUCAACACAGGACUCCAAGCACCACUACCAAUUGAUCAGAGUUAACAAUUCAAGAUGAAAGCAAUUAUCUUCUCUGGUUUAAAGCUCCCGUUUUCCAAGGUGAAUAUAAGAACAAAGAAUAUCCAAGCAACUAGACUAUUCAGACUUGAGAUUCAUACUCAUAUCAUUUUCUCCAUAUUGGCAGGUAAGAUCACAGGCUUUCUGGAGGCAU